rnacentral:rRNA from 1 species
UACAGAGGGUGCAAGCGUUAAUCGGAAUUACUGGGCGUAAAGCGUGCGUAGACGGUAGCGUAAGUCGGGUGUGAAAGCCCCGGGCUCAACCUGGGAAUGGCAUUCGAGACUGCUCUGCUAGGGUGCGGAAGAGGGGAGCGGAAUUUCCGGUGUAGCGGUGAAAUGCGUAGAUAUCGGGAGGAACACCUGUGGCGAAAGCGGCUCACUGGACCGCAACUGACGCUGAGGCGCGAAAGCUAGGGGAGCAAACAGG